rnacentral:rRNA from 1 species
GUUGAACGGACUCAUAUUGAAACCUAGUGAUGUAUGAGUUAGUGGCGGACGGGUGAGUAACGCGUGGAGAACCUGCCGUAUACUGGGGGAUAACACUUAGAAAUAGGUGCUAAUACCGCAUAAGCGCACAGUAUCGCAUGAUACAGUGUGAAAAACUCCGGUGGUACAAGAUGGACCCGCGUCUGAUUAGCUAGUUGGAGGGGUAACGGCCCACCAAGGCGACGAUCAGUAGCCGACUUGAGAGAGUGAUCGGCCACAUUGGGACUGAGACACGGCCCAAACUCCUACGGGAGGCAGCAGUAGGGAAUAUUGCACAAUGGGGGAAACCCUGAUGCAGCGACGCCGCGUGAAGGAUGAAGUAUUUCGGUAUGUAAAGCUCUAUCAGCAGGAAAGAAAAUGACGGUACCUGACUAAGAAGCCCCGGCUAACUACGUGCCAGCAGCCGCGGUAAUACGUAGGGGGCAAGCGUUAUCCGGAUUUACUGGGUGUAAAGGGAGCGUAGACGGUGAAGCAAGUCUGAAGUGAAAGGCGGGGGCUCAACCCCCGGACUGCUUUGGAAACUGUUUGACUGGAGUGCAGGAGAGGUAAGUGGAAUUCCUAGUGUAGCGGUGAAAUGCGUAGAUAUUAGGAGGAACACCAGUGGCGAAGGCGGCUUACUGGACUGUAACUGACGUUGAGGCUCGAAAGCGUGGGGAGCAAACAGGAUUAGAUACCCUGGUAGUCCACGCCGUAAAC